rnacentral:tRNA from 1 species
CGCGGGAUGGAGCAGUCUGGUAGCUCGUUGGGCUCAUAACCCAAAGGUCGCAAGUUCAAAUCUUGCUCCCGCUACAA